CGGAUCAAGCAGCUCAAGAGGCAACUGGAUAGGAUGAAAAUGGGCGAUGACGAAUCUGUGUCAACGUUCGCCCAUAAGAUGAUGACCCUCGUCGGUGAGAUCCGGUCCCUUGGUGAGAAAAUCAACGAUGAGACAGUGGUUGAAACCCUGUUCAAUGCUGUCCCUCCACGGUUCGGCGACAUCGUCAACACAAUCGAGCAAUGGGGCGACCUCACGAUGAUGACGAUGGCUGAGGCUGUUGGUCGUCUAGCAGCCUUCGAGGAAAACCAGAGAGGUCGCCGACGUCAGUCUAGCGGCAAGGAUGAUUAG
rnacentral:rRNA from 1 species